ACGAACGCUGGCGGCGUGCCUAAUCCAUGCAAGUAGCACGCUGAAGAGAGGAGCUUCCUCUUCUUGGAUGAGUUGCGAACGGGUGAGUAACGCGUAGGUAACCUGCCUUGUAGCGGGGGAUAACUAUUGGAAACGAUAGCUAAUACCGCAUAACAAUGGAUGACACAUGUCAUUUAUUUGAAAGGGGCAAUUGCUCCACUACAAGAUGGACCUGCGUUGUAUUAGCUAGUAGGUGAGGUAAUGGCUCACCUAGGCGACGAUACAUAGCCGACCUGAGAGGGUGAUCGGCCACACUGGGACUGAGACACGGCCCAGACUCCUACGGGAGGCAGCAGUAGGGAAUCUUCGGCAAUGGGGGCAACCCUGACCGAGCAACGCCGCGUGAGUGAAGAAGGUUUUCGGAUCGUAAAGCUCUGUUGUAAGUCAAGAACGGGUGUGAGAGUGGAAAGUUCACACUGUGACGGUAGCUUACCAGAAAGGGACGGCUAACUACGUG
rnacentral:rRNA from 1 species